CCUUGAUGAAUCCUAGAUGACGAGUCCGAAUACUCUGGUACGAGGUUUCCUUGUACCAGCGUCGAUGACGAGUCCCACUUAUUUUACCAUUCAUGCUUUGUCUGAUU
rnacentral:snoRNA from 1 species